rnacentral:rRNA from 1 species
GACGUAGGGCGCGAGCGUUGUCCGGAUUUAUUGGGCGUAAAGAGCUCGUAGGCGGCUCAUUGCGUCAACCGUGAAAACCAGCAGCUCAACUGUUGGCUUGCGGUUGAUACGGGUGGGCUGGAGUUCGGUAGGGGAGACUGGAAUUCCUGGUGUAGCGGUGAAAUGCGCAGAUAUCAGGAGGAACACCGGUGGCGAAGGCGGGUCUCUGGGCAUCUCCUGACGCUGAGGCGCGAAAGCGUGGGGAGCAAACAGG